rnacentral:misc_RNA from 1 species
AAGUCGUAACAAGGUUUCCGUAGGUGAACCUGCGGAAGGAUCAUUAACGAGUUUUGAAAUGGGUUGUAGCUGGUCUUAAACAAAGACAUGUGCACACCCUGCUCAUCCACUCUUCAUACCCCUGUGCACCUAUUGUAGGCUUGGUGGGAUAGCUAUUUGAUUAGCUUGAAAGCCUUGUCUAUGUUUUACUACAAACAUGUCAGUUAAAGAAUGUAACAAGUUGCGUUUAACGCAUUUAAAUACAACUUUCAGCAACGGAUCUCUUGGCUCUC